rnacentral:misc_RNA from 1 species
AAGCGGAGGAGCUUGGUCAUUUAGAGGAAGGAAGCGUAUCAAUAAGGGGAGGAGCCCCGCGCCCGACGAAGACACCCUCGAACUCUGUCUGAAGAAUGUAGUCUGAGUGAAAAUAUAAAUUAUUUAAAACUUUCAACAACGGAUCUCUUGGUUCCGGCAUCGAUGAAGAACGCAGCGAAAUGCGAUACGUAAUGUGAAUUGCAAAUUCAGUGAAUCAUCGAGUCUUUGAACGCACAUUGCGCCCCCUGGUAUUCCGGGGGGCAUGCCUGUCCGAGCGUCAUUGCUGCCCUCAAGCACGGCUUGUGUGUUGGGCCCCGUCCUCCGAUCCCGGGGGACGGGCCCGAAAGGCAGCGGCGGCACCGCGUCCGGUCCUCGAGCGUAUGGGGCUUUGUCACCCGCUCUGUAGGCCCGGCCGGCGCUUGCCGAUCAACCCAAAUUUUUAUCCAGGUUGACCUCGGAUCAGGUAGGG